UACGUAGGGUGCGAGCGUUAAUCGGAAUUACUGGGCGUAAAGCGUGCGCAGGCGGUGAUGUAAGACAGAUGUGAAAUCCCCGGGCUCAACCUGGGAACUGCAUUUGUGACUGCAUCGCUGGAGUGCGGCAGAGGGGGAUGGAAUUCCGCGUGUAGCAGUGAAAUGCGUAGAUAUGCGGAGGAACACCGAUGGCGAAGGCAAUCCCCUGGGCCUGCACUGACGCUCAUGCACGAAAGCGUGGGGAGCAAACAG
rnacentral:rRNA from 1 species